GAAUUUCUCCGCGUUACAAUACGAUACCCACCCUGAUGUUUACUUGUUCUAAAAAAAGACUCGCUGUAUAUUUCGCCACUUUAUGUGUGCCUGUAUUCAACAGGACAGUCUUGAGAGAUACGUGUUGACUGUACCGUUAGGCUUCGCGUACAAGGACGCCAGGCAGCGCUUACCUGUUGGAGAGUGAAGAGUAUUAUACCGUCCCCUCAACCGUCGUCACUGACAUUCUACUAUCAUGGAAGCAACAUGGCGACAUGGAUUAUAUCUGGUUCUUCAUGGGGUUUUAUUGUGUUCAACCACUGUUCACUCAGAAACAACAACAACAAGUCCUGAUGUUUGCGGCCCCCUGCAGUUAACGGCUGGAUCACAACCUAGAUACCUAACAUCACCUGGCUACCCCGUCUCUAUAGAGAAAAACCCCAGAUGCAAAAUGGACAUCAAAAGCGCCAAAAUGAGG